rnacentral:lncRNA from 1 species
UACUCUGACUGUUGAUGGUUGGUGCUGUCAGCCUUAAGCUACUAUUCAGAUCACUGCUUCCAGAAUUAUGCUGAAUAAGAUCUUGACCAGAUAUUGUAAGAGUGAUUUCUUGAGGACUUCCUGAUGAGCUUGCAGUAGUAGAACCAGUAGCAUGAGCUAGAACUUGACUCAAACUGGAAUUAUUUAUGGUCAAUGUUAUCUCAUGUUGUCCAUUUGAAGAUGACACCAUACCCUGUGAAGUCAUG